AUUGAACGCUGGCGGCAUGCCUAACACAUGCAAGUCGAACGGAGGUAGGGGCAACUCUACUUCAGUGGCGGACGGGUGAGGAAUGCGUCGGAAUCUACCCUAUGGUGGGGGAUAACACAGGGAAACUUGUGCUAAUACCGCAUAAUGUCGAGAGACCAAAGCAGGGGACCGCAAGGCCUUGCGCGAUAGGAUGAGCCGACGCCCGAUUAGCUUGUUGGUAGGGUAAUGGCCUACCAAGGCGACGAUCGGUAGCUGGUCUGAGAGGAUGAUCAGCCACACUGGGACUGAGACACGGCCCAGACUCCUACGGGAGGCAGCAGUGGGGAAUAUUGCGCAAUGGGCGAAAGCCUGACGCAGCGACGCCGCGUGAGGGACGAAGGUCUUCGGAUUGUAAACCUCUUUCAGCAGGGACGAAGCGAAAGUGACUGUACCUGCAGAAGAAGCACCGGCUAACUACGUGCCAGCAGCCGCGGUAAU
rnacentral:rRNA from 1 species